rnacentral:rRNA from 1 species
AGUGAACGCUGGAGGUAGGCCUCACACAUGCAAGUCGAACGGCAGCACAGUAAGAGCUUGCUCUUACGGGUGGCGAGUGGCGGACGGGUGAGGAAUACAUCGGAAUCUACUUUUUCGUGGGGGAUAACGUAGGGAAACUUACGCUAAUACCGCAUACGACCUACGGGUGAAAGCAGGGGAUCUUCGGACCUUGCGCGAUUGAAUGAGCCGAUGUCGGAUUAGCUAGUUGGCGGGGUAAAGGCCCACCAAGGCGACGAUCCGUAGCUGGUCUGAGAGGAUGAUCAGCCACACUGGAACUGAGACACGGUCCAGACUCCUACGGGAGGCAGCAGUGGGGAAGAGUGGACAAUGGGCGCAAGCCUGAUCCAGCCAUACCGCGUGGGUGAAGAAGGCCUUCGGGUUGUAAAGCCCGUUUUUCGGGAAAGAAAAGCAGCAUGUUAAUACCCCGCUGUUCUGACGGUACCCAAAGAAUAAGCACCGGCUAACUUCGUG